UUGUCAAGUCUGUAUUUGGAAAAGACAAUUGUUCUAUUAAAAAAAAAAAACAACAACACAACAAUCCACACAUGCAUUUAGUUUAGGCUCAAUGCUACAAUUUGUCCCACUUUUUGAUAUUUGGGACAUCCAUGUUAUGAGUUGAUGGGCAAAUAUCUUCGUAUUUUUUCCCGUUGAAGAUAUCAAUACCAACCAGGUGGACCUUGGCGUGGCCGUGCUUUCCCGUCUUGGAGGUGGACAUCUCCACGAUCUUACACGGGCGCCCCUUCAGUACCACGAAGCCGUUCUUACGCAGCGCCGAGCACUGCAUGGGAUAGGUGGACGAGGCGCCGGCGUCGCCCGUCGUGAAGUCCAACUCGUCGGCCAUGGCGGCGGCUGCGGGGCUGCAGAGCGCGGCGGGGUGGCCGAGGGGCGGCCGGGAGGGCGGGCGGGGGCACGGCGCCGCGCACACGCGCCCGACCACUGCGGCGGCCGGCGGGAAGGGGCGGCGGGCGGCGGGCAGCGCGCGCACCACGCCCCGCGCCCCGCCCCCC
rnacentral:lncRNA from 1 species